rnacentral:rRNA from 1 species
AUGGUGAUCAAACUCGACUUCUCAAAAGCUUUCGACUCUAUCUGUUGGCCCUCGCUGCUCGCCAUCCUUGGCGCCCGUGGCUUCCCUGACAAAUGGAUCAAAUGGAUCGAAUAACUGCUUACCUCUGGCAAAAUGGCCAUCCUCCUAAACGGAACCCCCGGCCCAUGGAUUCAAUGUAAAAAUGGGUUAAGGCAGGGGGACCCCCUAUCCCCGUUCCUCUUCAUAAUAGUUGCCGAUGUGCUCCAAAGAAUGAUCAUUCAGGCCUGUGAGCAAAACCUUCUAGCACAUCCCAUUUCCGCAAGUCUCUCCUGCCAGGUCCUUCAGUACGCCGAGGACACCCUAAUCAUUAUCAGGGCUGACACUGACGCAGCCGCCAACCUAAAGCGUAUCCUCGAUGACUUCUCUAACGCUACCGGGCUAACCAUAAACUUCUCAAAACCUCUUUCGCCCCCCUAA